CGCAAAGAGAAGCAAUUUUAUCCAAGCGUGGGUUAAUAUUCAGACGUCUGAUGAGCGCUGGGUGUGGGAAGAAGGCAAGUCCUUGAAGUAGACCCUGCAAACACACCCCCGUGCUCUUUGGGAGAGAAACACUUCAGAGGGAAGUCAAAGUGUGCACACCAGAUUUUAAAGAUGUACUUCUUACACCUCCAGCUGGCCUUUCUCAUUCCAAUGACCUUAUCCAGUGCCCAGUGUUUUCAUAAAAACCUCGUACCUAGGCAAGUAACCGACAAAGGCUGCCGUUGGGAUAGCGAGACGCAUGCCUUUAAUAUCUACUGGUACACUGACUAUUGCCUUCGCUGUAUUUGCGACCGAGAAAUGGUUUCCUGUUGCAACAUAACUCCCAUCCCUGCUGACUACGACCGAGAGAAUUGCGAGGAGGUUUACGAAGAGAGUCUCUGCACCUAUCUGGUGAGGGACAAAAUCAACCCUUUCCUGCUCUGUAAAGUCGACAGCUGGUUGCUGUAGCCACCACGCCCUUCAUGGAGUGUUGCCACCCCUACCGGCUACAACAAAGAGAAAUGUGAAAGUAUCUUUGAUCAGGCGACCUGUAGUUACCGUGCGGUGGAGAAGGCCGACCCCUCCAAACUCUGCGAGGUCCAUGGCACGGUGGGGUAACAACCAACCCGCUCAGAAUCAAGAUCAUCGUCCAGGCAAAUCCUUCCGGAGCACAACCUCUUUUAAGCAUCCUUAAGGAAUUCAGCGGGUGAGAAUACCAGCCCUCUCUGUGAUUCUAGGGUGUGUCUGUUACUAUCUAAACACAGAUUGGGGGAGCAGGGAGCUAAAUUGAACCCUGAGCACAGAUCUUGUCAAUUUCUUUCCUGAUGCUCAUGUGAUUAAAAUAAAUUCUGCUGAAGCAU